rnacentral:rRNA from 1 species
CAAUAGCGUAUAUUAAAGUUGUUGCAGUUAAAAAGCUCGUAGUUGGAUUUCUGGCGGGCGCGCCGGUCUUCCAAGUGUUGUACUGGGCGCAGUCCGCCAUCCUUGUGGAGAGGGCUCGCAUUGAGUUGCGUGUCGGAUCUGUAUCAUUUACUGUGAAAAAAUUAGAGUGUUUAAAGCAGGCUGUCGCUUGAAUACAUUAGCAUGGAAUAAUAAGAUAGGACUUCGGUCUAUUUUGUUGGUUGCGAACCGAGGUAAUGAUUAAUAGGGAUAGUUGGGGGUAUUCAUAUUUAAUUGUCAGAGGUGAAAUUCUUGGAUUUAUGAAAGAUGAACAACUGCGAAAGCAUUUACCAAGGAUGUUUUCAUUAA